rnacentral:misc_RNA from 1 species
GUGGGCUUUCCUGUGCACUAAUAUUAUCGCUAUAUCAAUUUCCCCAAGUUGGCAUGGAGUUUUUCCCAGCAAAAAAUAUUAUGUCAACAAUAUCAAUCAUCAUCAGAACCGCUGUCUUCAGAGAUCUUGCCAAUAUCAUCUGCUACAACUUUAUCUGGCAUCUUAUCCCAGUCCUUCAACUUGGAAUUUGUUAGCAUGUAGUUAUCACGUAAUGGAGCCCAAGAGGGC